rnacentral:piRNA from 1 species
UUCUUAAUCAGUUUUCCCUGC